rnacentral:rRNA from 1 species
UUAGUUAAGUGAUCAAGGGCGCACGGUGGAUGCCUUGGCACUGGGAGCCGAUGAAGGACGGGACUAACACCGAUAUGCCUCGGGGAGUCGUAAGCAGACGUUGAUCCGGGGAUUUCCGAAUGGGGAAACCC